rnacentral:rRNA from 1 species
UACGUAGGGGGCGAGCGUUGUCCGGAUUCAUUGGGCGUAAAGAGCUCGUAGGCGGCUUGGCAAGUCGGAUGUGAAAACUCCAGGCUCAACCUGGAGCCGCCAUUCGAUACUGCCAUGGCUAGAGUCCGGUAGGGGAGUGUGGAAUUCCCGGUGUAGCGGUGAAAUGCGCAGAUAUCGGGAGGAACACCGAUGGCGAAGGCAGCACUCUGGGCCGGUACUGACGCUGAGGAGCGAAAGCGUGGGGAGCGAUCCGG